rnacentral:rRNA from 1 species
UACGUAGGGGGCUAGCGUUAUCCGGAAUUACUGGGCGUAAAGGGUGCGUAGGUGGUUUAUUAAGUCUGGUGUAAAAGGCAGUGGCUCAAACAUUGUAUGCAUUGGAAACUGGUAGACUUGAGUGCAGGAGAGGAGAGUGGAAUUCCAUGUGUAGCGGUGAAAUGCGUAGAUAUAUGGAGGAACACCGGUGGCGAAAGCGGCUCUCUGGCCUGUAACUGACACUGAGGCUCGAAAGCGUGGGGAGCAAACAGG